AUUGAACGCUGGCGGCAGGCCUAACACAUGCAAGUCGAACGGUAACAGGAAGCAGCUUGCUGCUUUGCUGACGAGUGGCGGACGGGUGGGUAAUGUCUGGGAAACUGCCUGAUGGAGGGGGAUAACUACUGGAAACGGUAGCUAAUACCGCAUAAAGUCGCAAGACCAAAGAGGGGGACCUUCGGGCCUCUUGCCAUCGGAUGUGCCCAGAUGGGAUUAGCUAGUAGGUGGGGUAACGGCUCACCUAGGCGACGAUCCCUAGCUGGUCUGAGAGGAUGACCAGCCACACUGGAACUGAGACACGGUCCAGACUCCUACGGGAGGCAGCAGUGGGGAAUAUUGCACAAUGGGCGCAAGCCUGAUGCAGCCAUGCCGCGUGUAUGAAGAAGGCCUUCGGGUUGUAAAGUACUUUCAGCGGGGAGGAAGGGAGUAAAGUUAAUACCUUUGCUCAUUGACGUUACCCGCAGAAGAAGCACCGGCUAACUCCGUG
rnacentral:rRNA from 1 species